UACAGAGGGGGCAAGCGUUGUUCGGAAUUAUUGGGCGUAAAGGGUGCGUAGGCGGUGCGGUAAGUCUUCUGUGAAAUCUCCGGGCUCAACCCGGAGCCUGCAGGAGAAACUGCCGUGCUCGAGUAUGGGAGAGGUGAGUGGAAUUCCUGGUGUAGCGGUGAAAUGCGUAGAUAUCAGGAGGAACACCUGUGGCGAAAGCGGCUCACUGGACCAUAACUGACGCUGAGGCACGAAAGCUAGGGGAGCAAACAGG
rnacentral:rRNA from 1 species